rnacentral:rRNA from 1 species
GACGAACGCUGGCGGCGUGCUUAACACAUGCAAGUCGUACGGUAAGGCCCUUUCGGGGGUACGCGAGUGGCGCACGGGCGAGUAACACGCGCGUAACCUGCCCACAACUUUGGGAUAACGCUCGGAAACUGGCGCUAAUACUGGAUAUGUGCUCCUGCUUCCUGGUGGGGGUUGGUAAGCUCCGGCGGUUGUGGGUGGACUCGCGGCCUACCAGCUUGGUGGUGGGGUAGUGGCCUACCAAGGCGGCGACGGGGAGCCGGCCUGCGGGGGUGAGCGGCCACAAUGGGAAUGGGAUACGGCCCAGACUCCGACGGGGGGGAGGAGGGGGGAAGAAUGGACAAAGGGCGCAAGCCUGAUGCAGCAACGCCGCGGGCGGGAAGACGGGCUUCGGGUUGGAAACCGGUUUCAGCAGGUACGAAGCUUUUUGUGACGGUACCGGCAGAAGAAGCACCGGCUAACUACGUG